rnacentral:lncRNA from 1 species
UUGGAGUCGACUCGAACCUCCUUGGAGUCGACUCGGCUCUCAGUUUCCGAAAGUUGGUCUUCUGCAUUUUGACGUGUAGCUUGUCUUGGAGUCGACUCGAGCUGUCUGUGAGUCGACUCGAAUCUCAGAGGCAGUAACAUGGUCUUCUGUCUGUUGAUGGUCGCUCAGUCUCGGAGUCGACUCGUGUACUGCGGGAGUCGACUCGAAUCUCAGAGUCCGAAAAUCGUUCUCUGACUUUUUCCUUGUGUUCCUCUGAGAGUCGACUCAUGCUUUCUUUGGAGUCGACCUGCCAACCAUCGGAGUCGACUCGCGUUCCACUGGAGUCGACUCGAAUCUCAGACCCGAAAACUGCUCUCUGACUUUUCUGCCUGUGACUGCUUGGAGUCGACUCUUACUUCCCUGGAGUCGACUCGGUGAACAUUGGAGUCGACUCGCGCACUUCAGGAGUCGACUCGUUGACAGGUUCUGAGAUGAAGCUUUCNGUUCUCUUUCNGUUCUCAGUCGGAGUCGACUCGUAC